AGUAUAUCAAAGAAAAAAAGCUGUAGAUAUCCUACCCAAAUAAUGAGUCAAGACAAACUAACAUGAAUUGUAAAAGAAAUUGGCAAUCUACCACAACUAUUCAAUGACAAAAAUGGCAAAUGUCUUAAAAGCUAAAUUUAGCUUAUAUCUACAACUGCAGAGAUUAUAACUUAUCCUACCAAAAGAAGAAUUAGGAUUUACAAGAUACAUGAUGCCAUUUAACCUUCUUAUACUUUAAAUUAAUGCUAGGAUGCUAGGAUGAUUAUUGAGCUUUUUAUUGGACACAACAAUGAGAUAACACAUUGUAGAAAGCAUUUCAAAGUUUUCAGAACUUGGUCGAUGUGUUUUCUUUGAAUUUUCUAACACUUUCAUCUAAUGUGGAAGACGAUGCAUG